rnacentral:rRNA from 1 species
AACGAACGCUGGCGGCAUGCCUAACACAUGCAAGUCGAACGAGACCUUCGGGUCUAGUGGCGCACGGGUUCGUAACGCGUGGGAACCUGCCCUUAGGUUCGGAAUAACUCCCCGAAAGGGGUGCUAAUACCGGAUAAUGUCUUCGGACCAAAGAUUUAUCGCCUUUGGAUGGGCCCGCGUUGGAUUAGCUAGUUGGUAGGGUAAAAGCCUACCAAGGCGACGAUCCAUAGCUUGUCUGAGAGGAUGAUCAGCCACACUGGGACUGAGACACGGCCCAGACUCCUACGGGAGGCAGCAGUGGGGAAUAUUGGACAAUGGGCGAAAGCCUGAUCCAGCAAUGCCGCGUGAGUGAUGAAGGCAUUAGGGUUGUAAAGCUCUUUUACCCGGGAUGAUAAUGACAGUACCGGGAGAAUAAGCUCCGGCUAACUCCGUG